rnacentral:lncRNA from 1 species
AAACACUUCAUCAAGUCAUAGGUAUCUUUGCUAAAAGCAACCUGUCGAAACCUUUUCCUAUCUCCCUCCUCUUGUCAGUGUCCGCGAGCAGCCACCGAGCGGUGAGCACCAACCGACCCACCACCAGCACCGCCAGCCCACCAGGGCCGCCGCCGCCACCCACCUCCACUCGAGACGUCUUCCUAACUCUCCCCCCUGGCUCCUCCUGCUUCAACCACACUCCUCUUUGCUCCUCAGCUCUCCCAACCAUUAAUGGGCAGCCCCAUGCGUCGCGCUCUGAGAAAN